AGUGAACGCUGGCGGUAGGCCUAACACAUGCAAGUCGAACGGCAGCACAGUAAGAGCUUGCUCUUACGGGUGGCGAGUGGCGGACGGGUGGGGAAUACAUCGGAAUCUACUUUUUCGUGGGGGAUAACGUAGGGAAACUUACGCUAAUACCGCAUACGACCUACGGGUGAAAGCAGGGGAUCUUCGGACCUUGCGCGAUUGAAUGAGCCGAUGUCGGAUUAGCUAGUUGGCGGGGUAAAGGCCCACCAAGGCGACGAUCCGUAGCUGGUCUGAGAGGAUGAUCAGCCACACUGGAACUGAGACACGGUCCAGACUCCUACGGGAGGCAGCAGUGGGGAAUAUUGGAAAAUGGGCGCAAGCCUGAUCCAGCCAUACCGCGUGGGUGAAGAAGGCCUUCGGGUUGUAAAGCCCUUUUGUUGGGAAAGAAAAGCAGCAGGUUAAUACCCCGCUGUUCUGACGGUACCCAAAGAAUAAGCACCGGCUAACUUCGU
rnacentral:rRNA from 1 species